rnacentral:tRNA from 3 species
GCUUCCAUAGCUCAGCAGGUAGAGCACUUCCAUGGUAAGGAAGAGGUCACCGGUUCGAGUCCGGUUGGGAGCU